UACGUAGGGGGCUAGCGUUGUCCGGAAUCAUUGGGCGUAAAGAGCGCGUAGGCGGCCCUGUAAGUCCGCUGUGAAAGUCAAGGGCUCAACCCUUGGAUGCCGGUGGAUACUGCAGGGCUAGAGUCCGGAAGAGGCGAGUGGAAUUCCUGGUGUAGCGGUGAAAUGCGCAGAUAUCAGGAGGAACACUGAUGGCGAAGGCAGCUCGCUGGGACGGUACUGACGCUGAGGCGCGAAAGCGUGGGGAGCAAACAGG
rnacentral:rRNA from 1 species